UCUACUGCUCCACCUCGCUGCAAUCUUCCUCAAUAGAAUAUUGUUCGCCUUGCUUUAAAAAAAAGAUUGUUCGCCCAAGUGUGCAAUGGUGUGUUAUAAGCCUAUAUGACUUGUGCCAUGCGUACCACGUGUUUGGGAAAAUGCUUAUGUUGGGAUUUUGCUGAAUUUCGAUUCUUAUGCUUCUAUUGAUUUACAUGUGUACAAGUGUUUACUCUCUUUCUACUUGGCAAUAAAGGAAAAAACAAGAACAUGAUAGAGAAACACAGUGUGAUUCAUAUUGGACCUCUCCUCAUUAUUGUGCAACUUUGGUCAUGCUGGUGCUUUGUUCCAAUUGAGAGCUCUGUAGCUUCUUUUCAGUUUUUUUUCUCUCUCAGCUUAAUAUGUGUUACUGUAAUUGCUGAUUUGGGAUCUUCAUUUUUUAGUUGUGUUUUCCCAUUAUGUCUUUUUGCUUAAUUGGCCCCAGGCCUUAUUGACUAUGAAUAAGGCUUUUAGGAGUAACAAAUAAGUAUAUUGAUUAAACGUUUGAGUGCUUUUACGAGAAAUCAUUACCGUGUUUUAAGAGGUUUCUCAUCAUUUCUGGUGAGUUCCCUUCUUCUCCGUUUCCCACCGAAGCCAUGCAAAUGGCACCAUUUUUGACCUAAUAGAGUUGAGUCUGGGGCUUUUACUGCUUUAGUCGAUUGCCAUUGAUUUCAGUUCAUACAUAUAAAGCUGUGGAAUUGUUUAAUUUUGUUUCAGCCUGAGUGUUUUUGAUCAUGUCUUGGUGCACGAUUGAGUCCAACCCAGCUUUUAAACAGUGAAGCUCAUCCAGGGUAUCAAGAUCGGAUGAAGUGGACAUCAAGUUUUUGGGGACUACAUUUGGGAAGGCCUAUACUAUACACACCAAUGUCUGCAUCACAGGAAGUGGAGAUGGAAAAAAAUUAUUGGGAGAGAGAUGAAGUUAUUUUUGUGGUUUGAUCCGAUGAUUAUGCUAUAGUAAGGAGAUUAUAAUAUCAAAUUGAUCAGUUUAUCAAGGACCGAACACAAUUUGCCAAGAGCCCUACAAAUCAUGAAGUUCCGUUUUCCCUGCACAAAGUCUUUAUCUUCUCCAGCAGGAAUCAUCGAUGAUAGUAACUUAGCUGGAUCGGGUAUGCAGACAGUAUCAGAGGGGAUCUCAAGUGGAAUCGAUGCUUCUGAAGUUUCGUCAGAGCUAAAAUCAAAUGGACAAGUUGUAGAUGAAAGUUUAUUCAAAGAUAGCAAGAUGGAUGUGACUGAAGUACAGAUGGAUGGUUCAAAAUAUACGUGUUCGAUCCUUAAGAUCCUAUUAGAAUAAUACCCUUCUCCAGCACUCAACUCCAGCAAUUCUCAUGUAAGAAACCCAAGAACCAAAGAAUUAAAAUAUCCACUUAAAUCUAUUACUGAAAGAAGAAAAACAAACAUGAUGAAGAUACGGCAGAAACCCAGGACGUCUUCGUCGGAGGUUUUGCCGUCUCUCCAGUCGAACUGGUUCGGGUCGGUGCCAAAUCCCCUGCUUCUCAAUCAGAUCGCAGAUGGUGUUUCUAAGCAACGCAAGUUAUUUUGGUGGUCUUCUUCAACGUUUUUGAAAGUCUUCCUUCUUCCUUGUGAUGCAAUUGGUGAAUAUGGAGUGAUGGAGUCUAGGGGCCGAUCAUGAACUUGCACUAGAAACCCAGGCGGAUUGCUAUUGUGAGAAAAUUUCAGAAAAGAAAAGGAAAAAAGAAAGGGAGUUAACGGAGCUAAAGGCGUUAAGUUAAUGAGGCAGGUGUCAUUAUUUUACAUAAGAGACAGGUCAACCAUCCCCUCAUACCGCACCUGAUUACUCCCACAUAACUUCAAUCUAAUAUUGGCCAAACAGACUCUGUAUAUAUUAAAAAGCAAAUGCCAAAGACUGGCAUAUAUAAAAGAGCAGCUUGCAGGUUUUGAAAGAAGAAAAUUAUAGUGUGGCCGUCUGGAAUACGUGUAUGUUUUGUUGCUUAUGAGACCGAGUCUCGGCAGACAUUAAAAAAGACUCGAGGUUGUUCAAGGAAAUUAAGAAGCAGAUGCAAGAGGGGCUGUCAAUUUGUUUACGAUGAAUUCUUUUAUAUAUUUGCGAGACCUUUGUUCA